GGCCGCAGUAUAUUAACUGUGCAAAGGUAGCAUAAUCAUUAGUCUUUUAAUUGAAGGCUGGUAUGAAUGGUUGGACAAGAUAUUAACUGUUUCAUAUAAAUUUAUUAUAAAAUUUUAUUUUUUAGUCAAAAAGCUAAAAUUAUUUUAAAAGACGAGAAGACCCUAUAAAUCUUUAUAUUUAGAUUAUUAUAAAUUUAUAGAAAUUUUUAUUUAUUAUAAUUUAUAAUAUUUUAUUGGGGUGAUAUUAAAAUUUAAUAAACUUUUAAUUUUUAUUUUCAUUAAUUUAUGAAUUAUUGAUCCGUUAUUAGCGAUUAAAAAAACAAGUUACUUUAGGGAUAACAGCGUAAUUUUUUUGGAGAGUUCACAUUAAUAAAAAAGAUUGCGACCUCGAUGUUGGAUU
rnacentral:rRNA from 1 species